rnacentral:rRNA from 1 species
GAUGAACGCUGGCGGCGUGCCUAAUACAUGCAAGUCGAGCGAACAGACGAGGAGCUUGUUCCUCUGACGUUAGCGGCGGACGGGUGAGUAACACGUGGAUAACCUCACUAUAAGACUGGGAUAACUUCGGGAAACCGGAGCUAAUCCCGGAUAACAUGUUGAACCGCAUGGUUCAACAGGGAAAGACGGUCUUGCUGUCACUUAUAGAUGGAUCCGCGCCGCAUUAGCUAGUUGGUCAGGUAACGGCUUCCCAAGGCAACGAUGCGUAGCCGACGUGAGAGCUUGAUCUGCGCCACUGGAGCGGAGACCUGGUCCAUACUCCUACGGGAGGCAGCAGUAGGAUAUAUUCGGCAAUGGGCGAUAGCCUGACGGAGCAACGCCGCGUGAUUGAAGAAGGUCUUCGGAUCGUAAAAAUCUGUUAUUAGGGAAGAACAAAUGUGUCAGUAACUAUCCUCGUCUUGACGGUACCUAAUCAGAAAGCCACGGCUAACUACGUG